AUCAUAUGGGAAUAUUGUUAAAAUGCAGAUUCUGAUUUAGUAGGUGUAGGAUGGGGCCUGAGAUUCUGCAUUUCUAACAAGCUCCCAGCUGAUGCUCU
rnacentral:pre_miRNA from 1 species